ensembl:misc_RNA 7SK 7SK RNA
GCAUGUGAAGCAAUCUGGCUGUGACAUCUGCCACCCCUCUGAUUGCCAGGGCUGAUCUGCUGAUCCACCUAUCGAGGUGGGUGCGCCCUUGCUUUCUCUCUUCUCCAUGUGUGUCCCUCCUAAAGCUGUGCACUGGGUUGAGGAGGACUUUCCCUGAGGAGGAGGACCAGUGCCCUAGCCCUAGCCCCUUCAAGUAGCUGUGCUUCCUGCCAGAACCUCUAGGCAGGCUCUCAAGGUCCAAGGCUGCUAGCAAGAAGGCUGUCACCCUGUUGGAAGCUUUGGACCUCCAGAACAGUGAGCUGAAUAAACCUUU